rnacentral:rRNA from 1 species
UACAGAGGGAGCAAGCGUUGUUCGGAAUUACUGGGCGUAAAGGGCGCGUAGGCGGUUCGAUAAGUCCCGUGUGAAAUCCCUCGGCUCAACUGAGGAAUGGCACGGGAAACUGACGGGCUUGAGUUCGGGAGAGGGAAGCGGAAUUCCGGGUGUAGCGGUGAAAUGCGUAGAUAUCCGGAGGAACACCAGUGGCGAAGGCGGCUUCCUGGACCGACACUGACGCUGAGGCGCGAAAGCUAGGGGAGCAAACGGG